AUUUAUAUAGUUUAAUAAAAACAUCAUAUUUUCAUUAUGAAAUUAGAAUUACACCUUAUAAAUA
rnacentral:tRNA from 1 species